rnacentral:rRNA from 1 species
AGAUAAAAGUUAAAAAGCUAAUAAAUAGAAAAUUUUAAAGUACUAUUGUAUAAUGUAAAACAGUACCGCAAGGGAAAGCUGAAAUAUAGUGAAAGUUAAAAAAAGGAUAAGAGUUAAUCGUACCUUUUGUAUUAUGGUUUAACAAGAUCUGAUGAUAAGCAGAACAGCACCCGAAAUCUGGAGAGCUAACCUAACCCUCUCAAAGGAGAACUACACAACCACUGUUGCAAGAGUGGUGAAAGAGGUUUGGUUAGAGAUGAUAUGUUUAACGCGCCAGAUGAUAGCUGGUUUUCUUAGAAAAAAGUUUAAGCUUUUCUCCCUCAUUCACAGUUUUUAUCUUAAAGAAAAAUAUUAGGAAAGAAAAGAGGGAAGAAAGAGAAAAGAAGAUAAGUUCUUUUCUCAAAAAGGAAACAACCAGGAAAGAAGGAAAGACCAAAAACAAGUGAAAAGGGGAAGGAUCAAAGUAGGCCUAAAAGCGGCCAUCUAAAAGAAAGCGUUAAAGCUCAAAUCCUCUCGACCCGAAAAUUUUUGAUACAAGAUCUAACCUCUUUUGAACUAAAGGAAAAUAAUAAUGUUAAAACGAGUAAGAAAAAGACUUUGUUACCCACUAGAGGAAAACUAAAACGCAACCAAGAACGCCUAAAACCACAAGAACAGGCAUCAAGAAAUCCUUUCCAACGCAGGAAGUGGUUAAACAAGGAAAAAAGGGGAAGAAAGGAACUAGGCAAAUAAAAAGGGGGACUGUUUACCAAAAACAUAGCCCCACGAACUUCAUAUGUGGGGUGCAGCCUGCCCAGUGGAAUUUAUUCUAAACGGCCGCGGUAUUUUGACCGUGCAAAGGUAGCAUAAUCACUUGUCUCUUAAAUGGGGACCUGUAUGAAUGGCUUUUCACUCUUUCACUGUCUCUCUUCCCUCCCUCCUAAUCUUCUAAUCACGUGAAGAAGCGUGAACAAAAAAGAAAGACGAGAAGACCCUGUCGAGCUUAAGCUAACCCUGAAAUGUCAUCUACCUUUUAUUUCUUUGAAAAAGGUAAAUUUUAGAUAAAGCUUUGGUUGGGGCAACCGUGGAGAAAAAGAAUCCUCCAGUUAAUUAGGAAGAAAACAUUUCACCUAAAAAAUUUAGCGACCCAGUUAUUCUGGAAAACGGAAAAAGUUACCGCAGGGAUAACAGCGUUAUCUUCUCUAAGAGCCCAUAUUGACGAGAAGGAUUGCGACCUCGAUGUUGGAUUGGGGUAACCAAAGGGUGUAGCAGCUCUUUAAGGUUGGACUGUUCGUCCAUUAAUUCCCUACAUGAUCUGAGUUCAGACCGACGUAAGUCAGGUCAGCUUCUAUCUUCUAAAUAACCCUUCUAGUACGAAAGGACCGAAGGGAGGCCUUCAAUGACCAACGUUAAAAGGUAAAAAAACAAGAAAAAAAAGUUAAAAAAUAAAAACCUUAGUUUAAUCUAGGGAACAUCUGAAAAGGGACACAUUGACAACUCACUUAAACCUGCACUGAAAAAAAAGUUUUUGGAUUUUACACAAGGGGACCCCUUAUAGUUUUUCUAGAAUUUGGAUCUAAGAAAC